UCGUCUCGUCUCCUCCAUUUCUUACUGUGUUUUUGGGACUUGAAAGCCAAGAAAGAUCCACAAACCCCGAACUGCCUCCUUUCUUUUCCCCUUCCCUUUCCUUCGGGUCGCUUCUCUCUCCUCUCCUCUCUUCAAUCUCGAUACGUAAAGCGAAGCUUUCCCCUCGUUAAUUGCUGGGUUGAGAAAGAAAGAGAGAGAGAGAGAGGGGGGGGAAAAGGGUGGUCGGGGCGGCAGAGGAGGAGGAGGAGGCGAGGAUGGCGGGGGGGAGCGAGGAGCGGUGCUGCGAGGCGAUGUUCUGGGUGUACCUCAUCAUCAGCGUCGGCCUGGUCUUGUUCGCCGGCCUCAUGUCCGGCCUCACCCUCGGCCUCAUGUCCCUCAGCCUCGUCGACCUCGAGGUCCUCGUCAAGGCCGGCAAGCCCAAGGACCAGCUUCACGCCGCCAAGAUUCUGCCCGUGGUCAAGAAUCAGCACCUCCUCCUCUGCACCCUGCUCAUCGGCAACUCGCUCGCCAUGGAGGCGCUUCCCAUAUUUCUUGAUUCGCUCGUUCCGGCGUGGGGGGCCAUCCUAAUAUCCGUAACCCUAAUCCUGACCUUCGGCGAGAUAAUUCCUCAAGCUGUAUGUUCGCGGUAUGGGCUGAGCGUGGGAGCUAAAACUGCCGGAGUGGUUCGUCUGCUUCUUUUGAUCUUCUUUCCAGUGGCUUAUCCCAUUAGCAAGUUGCUGGACUGGCUACUGGGCAAGGGACAUGUUGCACUUAUGAGAAGAGCCGAACUGAAGACACUGGUGGAUAUGCACGGAAAUGAGGCAGGAAAGGGUGGGGAAUUGACUCAUGAUGAGACUACUAUUAUUGCUGGAGCUUUGGAGUUGACUCAAAAGACUGCACAAGAUUCAAUGACAACAAUAUCAGAGACCUUUUCGCUUGAUAUUAACUCUAAACUUGACAUGUACACUCUCGGUUUAAUCAUGAGUAAAGGACAUAGCCGUGUACCAAUCUACUCUGGCAGCCCAACAAACAUUAUAGGCCUUAUUUUGGUUAAGAAUUUGAUCACUUGCCGCCCUGAAGAUGAAGUUCCUAUAAGAAAUGUUACCAUAAGAAGGAUACCAAGGGUCUACGAUGACCUUCCUCUGUAUGACAUCCUGAAUGAAUUCCAGAAAGGCCACAGUCACAUGGCUGUGGUUGUUAAACGCAUAAAAGACAGUGACUUAACAACAGAAAAGAGCAAAACCAGUCCCUCAGAUAACAGAAUGGACCAGAGUAGGAACCACUAUGAAGCCCAUGGAGAUGGAUCUCUGUCAGUUAUGGCUGCGCAUUUGAAUAAUAUUACCAACGCGUCCCCUGUGAGUAGUAGUAUUCAGGGAUUUCACAGUCCUGUGAAGAGAAGCAACAUAGAUAAACAAGGAGAUUCACGCUCACAGGUCAAAAAAUUUGAACGAGGGCGACAUGACAAUAUCCUUGAUGUUAAUUCUGAUUCGCUUCCAAGUUAUUCAUUAGAUGAAGAAGUAGUUGGAAUUAUAACAAUGGAAGAUGUUAUGGAGGAAUUGCUACAGGAAGAGAUAUUGGAUGAGACAGACGAGUAUGUUGAUGUCCACAACAAGAUCAAGAUAAACAUGUUACCUACAAGAAGGUCAUCACCAAGAUCCUCUGGAAAUGUAUCUAUCUCUCAGUUUCCACGUCGAACUCCAACGGCAUCUCCACUGUCUCUCCUUCAAGAUGCUUCUGUAUCACGUUCACCUGUUUCUCAGUAUGCUCAAGUUCCUGGUCCAACACCAACCAUUACAAAAUCUGGACAGUCUUUAGCAAGUUCACCUGCACAUCACACAGGCCUUGGGCAGAACCUGUCAGCUUCAUAGCGAUAUAGGAAAGAGGGUCCUGUAUCAUGGUGUAUGUUCUUAGUUCUCACAAAGCAUUCUUUGCAACGAUCAUCAUUUCAGUGUUCAAUAGCUGUUUUUUCAAUGAUUAUACACUCACAAAGGUUUCUACGAAAGAAGCUCAGGGAAAACGAAAAGUGUAGCUGCCUGUUCAGGUGAGCAGAAGUUAAUCAGCAUGACUAAAUUUUUUGGAAAUUUCUAUAUUGUGAUCAAAUUGUAGUUUUUGUUCGUUGAUGUGACCGUAACAUGUAUUUUACGUGGAAUGUGUAAUAUGUAUUAGUUGGAUCAGUGCUCAUAUUUUUCGAAGUAGCUGAAACAAUUGUUUCGUGUGGAGACAUCAGUACUCAUCUUUUGACACCUCCAUUUCAUUAGUGCUUUCAUCAUAAAUCUAUUC